AGGCGGGUCGGUUAACUGGCAAACCACGGGUCUCCAAAACCCGGACUGUGGGUUCGAUCCCCAUCCCGCCUGCCA
rnacentral:tRNA from 2 species